rnacentral:misc_RNA from 1 species
CUCAAUGUGUGAAAUGUGCAUAAUAAGGUAAAUUAGUUCAACAGAUCACUUAAGACCACUGUCUUCAUUAUCUAUCUUCUCUUGUUGCCCCUUACAAUGUAUUUUCUCACCUUCCUCAAACUUUCCAAAACUCAAACAUACACAAAGGAGAAGGUCAAAUGAAUUUUAGCUUACAAAAUGACUUUGUUUUUUCUUUUUUUGCCCAGAGGGAAAGACAUGCACAAAUAUGAGUGUGUGCGUGUGGGGUUAUCAAUUUGUUUAGCAUCUUCUGAGUCUAUCUUGGCGGUUAAGCUCAUUUGAAUAACAGCCAAGAAUACUCCAGUCCCCAAAAUACAAGAGAACAGAUCCCUUAUUCCAUCUGUUGAAUUUGCUAAAUUGCAUAGAAGUUUGUAGAGGUCAAUAACUAUAUUGCAUUUGCAGAAGACCAUAAGAAUCAGUAUAUAAGAGCACAACUAAUAGUUGAUCCCAAUCCAUACAUCAUUGUAAUGGUGUCGUGCAACUUCAGUAUUAUAUGCAUUCCUUUAUCAAGGAAAUAGGAUGUUAAUAAAAUAAAUAUAAAAAGCAUCCACUUCUAAUGGAAAGGGAAUGGAUUUUUUUUAUAUGGAUUUUUUGCUGAAGAAAAAAGAAAACUA